GUGGGGAGCAAACAGGAUUAGAUACCUGGUAGUCCACGCUGUAAACGAUGUCGAUUUGGAGUUUGUUGCCUAGAGUGAUGGGCUCCGAAGCUAACGCGAUAAAUCGACCGCUGGGGAGUACGGCCGCAAGGUUAAAACUCAAAUGAAUUGACGGGGGCCCGCACAAGCGGUGGAGCAUGUGGUUUAAUUCGAUGCAACGCGAAGAACCUUACCUGGUCUUGACAUCCAUAGAAUUCUGCAGAGAUGUGGGAGUGCCUUCGGGAACUAUGAGACAGGUGCUGCAUGGCUGUCGUCAGCUCGUGUUGUGAAAUGUUGGGUUAAGUCCCGCAACGAGCGCAACCCUUAUUCUUUGUUGCCAGCGAUUUGGUCGGGAACUCAAAGGAGACUGCCGUUGAUAAAGCGGAGGAAGGUGGGGACGACGUCAAGUCAUCAUGGCCCUUACGACCAGGGCUACACACGUGCUACAAUGGCGUAUACAAAGGGAAGCGAAGGUGCGAGCUGGAGCGGAUCUCAUAAAGUACGUCUAAGUUCGGAUUGGAGUCUGCAACUCGACUCCAUGAAGUCGGAAUCGCUAGUAAUCGUAGAUCAGAAUGCUACGGUGAAUACGUUCCCGGGCCUUGUACACACCGCCCGUCACACCAUGGGAGUGGGUUGCACCAGAAGUAGAUAGCUUAACCGCGAGGGGGGCGUUUACCACGGUGUGAUUCAUGACUGGGGUGAAGUCGUAACAAGGUAACCA
rnacentral:rRNA from 1 species